rnacentral:tRNA from 1 species
GGAGAGGUGUCCGAGCGGUCGAAGGUGCACGCUUGGAAAGCGUGUGUGCCAAAAGCACCGGGGGUUCGAAUCCCCCCCUCUCCG